rnacentral:tRNA from 1 species
CCUUCGAUAGCUCAGUUGGUAGAGCGGAGGACUGUAGAUGCUCUUCUGGCUAUCCUUAGGUCGCUGGUUCGAAUCCGGCUCGAAGGA